UUCUUAAAGAAAUUAUUUUAAGUAUAUUCUGCUCAAUGAAUAUUAAAUAGCUGUGUGAACACUAAGGUAGCAUAAUAAAUUGUUUAUUAAUUGUAGACUUGAAUGAAAGAAUGAAUGAGGAAAAUCUUUCUUAAGUUAUUUUUUUAAACUUAAAUUGUUAGUAAAAAUGCUAAUAUGGUAUUUAGGGACGAGAAGACCCUAUGAAGCUUUAAUAUUAAUUACAUAAAUUUUAUUUUGUAGAAGAUAUUUUGUUGGGGCAAUACUCUAAGAUUAAAGUUUAGAGAUUAUAUGAAUAUAUUUAUAUAUUUAAUGAGCCAUAAUUUAUGAUUAUUAGAAUAAGUUACUUUAGGGAUAACAGCAUAAUUUUUAUUGGAAAGUACUAAUUGAUAAUAUAGAUUAUGACCUCGAUGUUGAAUUAAUAAUACUAUUAGGUGAAGGAAUUUUAUAAGUUAGUCUGUUCGACUAUUAAAUUAUUACA
rnacentral:rRNA from 1 species